GGUAGAGUGGCCGUAAAGUUAGGUGGCAUGCUGUACUCCUGCAAACAUGGGUUYAAGUCCUGUUUCUAUCW
rnacentral:tRNA from 1 species